rnacentral:sRNA from 1 species
CUGCCUCAGCCUCACAAAGUGCUGGAAUUACAGGUGUGAGCUAUUGCUCCUGGCCAGUAUUUGAAAUAAGUUUUUUUUCUUGGUAUUUGGAUAGGUUUUUGCCAAUCCAGAAGACUGUGUAGCAUUUGGCAAAGGAGAAAAUGCCAAGAAGUAUCUUCGAACAGAUGACAGAGUAGAACGUGUACGCAGAGCCCACCUGAAUGACCUUGAAAAUAUUAUUCCAUUUCUUGGAAUUGGCCUCCUGUAUUCCUUGAGUGGUCCCGACCCCUCUACAGCCAUCCUGCACUUCAGACUAUUUGUCGGAGCACGGAUCUACCACACCAUUGCAUAUUUGACACCCCUUCCCCAGCCAAAUAGAGCUUUGAGUUUUUUUGUUGGAUAUGGAGUUACUCUUUCCAUGGCUUACAGGUUGCUGAAAAGUAAAUUGUACCUGUAAAGAAAAUCAUACAACUCAGCAUCCAGUUGGUUUUUUAAGAAUUCUAUACUUCCAAUUUAUAAUGAAUACUUUCUUAGAUUUUAGGUAGGAGGGGAGCAGAGGAAUUAUGAACUGGGGUAAACCCAUUUUGAAUAUUAGCAUUGCCAAUAUCCUGUAUUCUUGUUUUACAUUUGGAUUAGAAAUUUAACAUAGUAAUUCUUAAGUCUUUUGUCUGAUUUU